UAUCAUACAAUAGUGAAGAGUUAGAAAAAACAUGAAGAGUUACAUUGUGUUUUCUUUCCUCUCUUUGGCAAUAUUUUUCACCUUUUUUGGCCCUUUGCUAGUGUCAGGUGACAUUCAAUUUUGCCCAGGAAGUUUCACCGCGGAUGGGACGUGUGAUAAUAUUAGUUGUGGCAAUUUAGCUCUAUUGGAAUGGCCAGCUAGUAAGAUGCCUCACAGUUGCAAAUGUGCUGUUGGUGGAAGUAAUAAGAGCAAUUGUACAUGUUUAAUAGUUUGCUAAUAAGCAAAUUCGAUCAUAUCAAAUAUGUACUGAAUGAUUAUGAAUGAACUCUGAUAAAAUUUCUCUUUAUUGUGGUUG